rnacentral:tRNA from 1 species
GUUUGAUUAUUUUUAUAUUUUUUUAUAUAUUGAUAUGGUUAUAAAACUUAAUAUUUGGUGUGGCAGAAG